GUCAACUACCCACCACUUAAAGCCUAACGACUUUUGAAGUGGGGGCUUGUAAAAAGCCCUAGUUGACUACCCCAAGUCUUUCGAGGACUACGUUGGAAGGGUCAUGACACCUACGAAUGCUCCUCUAGUUCGUAGCCACUGUCGUUGAUGGUUAAAAGUCCUGAUGGGUAGGGACGGUGCUGUCAACAUCACAAGCCCUUCCAACAUGGGGGAAGAGGAAGAAC
rfam:Anoxybacillus sp. BCO1 LR68_contig000004, whole genome shotgun sequence.